CGCGGGGCGGGUGGAGGAGAAAAGUUUCCGGGAAGAGGGAACUUGUUGCUCUCGAAGGCGACUGCGUGGGACCGCCUGGGAGGCAGCGCUUUCCAAGGGCCCCAGAUUGGCCCUCUGGCUGCCCAGCUGCCGGACGUAUCGGGGCGCUGGCCGCUUGCCCCCCCUUCUCAAUCCUGGGGACAGAAGGAAGCAGGAGAGGGGUCUCCCCUUCCCCCCCACCUCUAGCUCACUUUCCACCACUUCCGAAUAGGAUGGACGGCAAAUUCGAGGAGAUCCGAGUGGUUCAAACUGUGUGACACCUUAAAGUGAUAUAGGUUAAUGCUGUGCCUUCUUGGUGGCAGUACCUGCCCUGUGGAACAGCUUCCCCCUGGAUUUUGAGAUGGCCCCCACCAUGUUAGCCUUUUGCAAGGCACUGAAGACUUGGCUGUUUCCCAGGCAUUUGGGUCAGGAGGUAGAUGAGCUCUGUUACUACUGAUGGAGACAAGAAAGAACUUGGAAAAAGGAAUUCCUUCUGCUUGUGCAGAACUCUCGGCCUUAAAUGGCUUGAAGAAUAAUUGAUCUGAAGUUCUGAAACGAGCCAUUCCAGUAUCACAGUUUGACAUCUUGAGCAACAUUUGUCUGUCUCCCAUUUGCAGUCCUAGAACUCCUUAAUAUUCUAUCUGGGGAACAUUGAGAAUAUUAACAUUUUCCCUAAAGUGAGUAAGGUUAAUAAAAAUGCCAUUAGAGUUUCCAUUUGCUCAUCAUAAAUAAACAAGCUGAUUUUGAUAUAAUUACAUAUUUGCUGCAUGUGUAUAUCCAUCUUCCUCUUCAUACUGGAGCGUACAACUUGUACCUACUCCAACAUUCUGGAAUGUGGCUUGAGAGCCUUUCCAAAAAGGGAGUCCACGUUGGUUUUUAAUGAGAUAAAAAACAGGAAAAGUUUUUUUUAAAAGAAGUACUAUACAUAGUAGCACAGUAGCUGUAUUGUUGUGUUUAAUGAAUUUAACUUGAAUUAAGUGUAAGUAUUGAAAUAUGUAGUUUUUGUCCUGGUUCCAUCCAUGGCCUGGUCUUAUCUCAUCUACUUUUUACAGUGGGUGCCCUAGCACUCAUCAGAAAUCAAUGCACCUAUUGGUCCAUUAAAAGUUGUGCAGCCCUUAGAGUGUAAGAAAUGUAGCCGAGGGAUGGAAAAAUAUAUGCUACAUCUGACAUUAGCACUACUGUUAAAAACUGUAUUUGUGGAGUCCUUGGUGCUCUCUGAGCUGGUUGUUU